CAGACAGUUAACCAAAACGCAGCAGCUAGUUUAACAAAACUAACAGCUCUUUCAAGAUUAUGUGGUAGGUGGUGCAUGGCCGUUCUUAGUUCGUGAAGUGAUUCGUUCGCCCAAUCGCAUUUCCAAACAACUAACAACUCAGAAUGCUGGGCAAUAGGACGUUUAAAGUGGCUCCUUACACCUUACAAAGGAAUGGCUGAUGAGAAACAACUCGAUCCGCUCAGCGUUCUAUUGGAAUGCAACGGACGUGAUUGCAAGCUUUUGUUUUGAGUUGCGGUUUUACUGAAAGACUCUACAAUCCGCAAACUUCAAUGAUCUGAAGUAGAAAACCUACAUGCUACAGUGAGAUAUUGUGGAUAAACUUAAGCGACCGCUCCAACAUUGUGUUUUUUUAAAACUGAUGAAGGUUGCGGCA
rnacentral:rRNA from 1 species